rnacentral:other from 1 species
CGUCGCCUGCGAUGCUCGAUAACCGCCUGGGUAUUUUCUUGAGCCUAAUUAGUACCCUGGGGGCAUAAUGUAAAGGCUGUUGUGCAUGCCCGCCCACGAGCGGGAAGCCUGAAGCCAGCGCGAGUGCCCCCACUUGAACCCCUUGGUUCAAGAACGAAGGUCGGUACCGGCAAACGCGGGGGGCGC